rnacentral:misc_RNA from 1 species
AACAAGGCGUACCUGCGGACCUGCGGAAGGAUCAUUACAGAGUUCAUGCCCUCACGGGUAGAUCUCCCACCCUUGCGUAUUUAUACCUUUGUUGCUUUGGCAGGCCGCCUGGGCUCGCGCCUGGCCACCGGCUCCCGGGCUGGUGCGUGCCUGCCAGAGGAUCUCCAAACUCUAGUUAUCAGUGUUGUCUGAGUACUAUACAAUAGUUAAAACUUUUAACAAUGGAUCUCAGAUCGGAAG